GGUUUGACAUGCCUGGCCCGCCACGGUUACGUGUGUGAGUGCCGGCGCGUGUCUGCCAUCCUUCUGGAAAACGUGUCUACCCUUCACUGGGCCGGAUACGCGAUCCAGAUCAUUUACUUUGAAAAAAUUAGAGUGUUUAAAGCAGGCUUUUUGCUAUGAAUACAUUAGCAUGGAAUAAUAAUUUAGGACUUUGGCCCUAUUUUGUUGGUUUCUAGGACUGAAGUA
rnacentral:rRNA from 1 species